GGGCGCCCAUGGCGGAGGGCGGCGGCCCCCACGGGCGGGCCGGGCCGGGGCCCGCAGGUCCUAAUCUGAAGGAAUGGCUCAGGGAGCAGUUUUGUGACCAUCCGCUGGAGCACUGUGAAGACACGAGGCUCCAUGAUGCAGCCUACGUGGGGGACCUCCAGACCCUCCGGAGCCUGCUGCAAGAGGAGAGCUACCGGAGCCGCAUUAACGAGAAGUCCGUCUGGUGCUGCGGCUGGCUCCCCUGCACACCGCUGAGAAUCGCGGCCACUGCGGGCCACGGGAACUGUGUGGACUUCCUCAUCCGGAAAGGGGCCGAGGUGGAUCUCGUGGAUGUGAAAGGACAGACUGCCUUGUACGUGGCUGUGGUGAAUGGGCACCUGGAGAGCGCCCAGAUCCUGCUGGAAGCUGGCGCUGACCCCAAUGGAAGCCGGCACCACCGCAGCACCCCCGUCUACCAUGCCUCGCGUGUGGGCAGGGCCGACAUCCUGAAGGCGCUCAUCAGGUAUGGGGCUGACGUCGAUGUCAACCACCACCUGACUCCUGACAUCCGGCCCCCCUUCUCCCGGCGCCUCACCUCCUUGGUGGUCUGCCCCUUGUAUAUCAGCGCAGCCUACCACAACCUCCAGUGCUUCCAGCUGCUUCUCCAGGCUGGGGCGAACCCCGACUUCAACUGCAAUGGUCCUGUCAACACGCAGGGCUUCUACAGGGGCUCCCCCGGGUGUGUCAUGGAUGCCGUCCUGCGUCACGGCUGUGAGGCAGCCUUCGUGAGCCUGCUCGUAGAGUUUGGAGCCAACCUGAACCUGGUGAAGUGGGAAUCCUUGGGCCCUGAGUCAAGAGGCAGAAGGAAGGUGGACCCCGAGGCCUUGCAAGUCUUUAAAGAGGCCAGAAGUGUCCCCAGGACCUUGCUGAGUCUGUGCCGUGUGGCCGUGAGAAGAGUUCUUGGCAAAUACCGGCUUCAUCUGAUUCCCUCGCUGCCUCUGCCAGACCCCAUAAAAAAGUUUCUGCUUUAUGAGUAGAAUUCCGGUGCAGCAGUUGAUUGCAGUGAGAAGAAGGUGAUCUGCCGUGAAAGUUGACGCCGAUUCUUGCCCCCGUGAACCACAUCCUGUGCUGCUGAUGGAAUCCCACUUGGCUCCUGAGGACAGGUCUGCUGCUUUGUUCAACCAGACUCUGCUGAUUCUUUCGGAAUCUGGACAGCUUUGAGGCUCACCCUCUAGUCUGAAACUUCAUAGCCGCCAAACAUGAAUCUGGAAACAGUGUACAUCGUUGCUUAAGGCCAUUCCUACUUGUUGUGAGUAACUUUCCUAAAGCUCCCUUUCUUUCUGUUGGCAAGGAUAGGGUAAUCAUGUUUCUGAGGUGUGGGGCACCCAGGUCCCACGUAGCAAGGAAACGUGGUGGUGGUGGUGUGAUGAGGCUGCUGCCUGGCAGGCCCCAGAGCCCCGCAAUGAGGGGCACGACAGACCCGUGGGAACGAGCCAGAGUGUCCCCCUCAGCCUGGUCCCAGGAGUGUCCCGUCUCUCCCCUCAAACAGAGUCCUGCUGUAGGCCUUGGCUGCUGUGGACAGGUGGGCAGGGAUACCUCUGAGAAUUCUGCUCUGGCAUCUUGGGUGUGGAUUUUGAGUGUAUUUCCCAAAGCCAUCAAUGUCACACAUAGCUGUGCCUUUUCCUAUUACUUAUGUUAUUUAUGUAUUUAUUUAUUUAUGUCCUGCCUUGUUCUAGAAAAGGGUUGAAGGCAGUGAUGCUUGUUUUUUUUUGUUUUUUGUUUUUUUGUUUUUUGAUGCUUGGUUUUUGAUGUUCUGUUUUGACAUUUGGGAAGUUUCCACAUGCACCCAUUAGGUGAUUUUAAAAAGAGGACAAUUAGCAGUUUUCUAAUGUUGACUAUAUUUCUGUUCUCAGGCUUAAGUGCCAUCCUUUUUUCUUUUUACCUUCUUUCUUGCAUUGAUUUUUUUGAAUAAAGGGUUCAUGUAGAAGUAGGAGGAGAGGAACAUGCAGCAAGCAUAGGUGUGAGCAAAGGAAAAUCAACCUUAGAGGGAAAUGCUUUGCCCAUGGUUGUCUGCAUGCUGCUGCACGGCCCAGGCAGGCCCCAGGCAGUGUGGAGGCUGCACUCUCACACCUGUACAUGCCCACAGGACUUUUGGGAGGACACACGGGAGAACGUGUGUGAGAGCACUUUGUACUGAGCAUUCCCUGUGACUGUAAACUGCCCUCGUGACUCCUGUCCCUUUCUCAGUGGAUAUGCAUUUGAGGGGAUGGAGGUGCUGGAAGGGCCUGUGACCUUGGGGAUCGGGCUUGACCUUGUGCCCCCCCCCCCCCCCCCCACCAGGCAGCGAUGCUCAUGGGGGCCCAUAGCAUAGGCCUUUGGCACAGAGGGCUCUGUGCAUGUCAGUAAGUACAAGGGCACAUGUUAAAUAACUUAUGAGGUCAAGUUUAUUCAACCUAGAGGUUUGUAUUUUAUUUUGAGAUAAUGUCCUUCCUAACUUGGGUGAUAAAAUGUACUUUUAUGUAACAAAGGUGAUAAUAUAUAUAUAUACACACACAUAAUUUUUUUUUUUUUUUUUUUAAUGCUCUUGGCUGUAAGAUGAAGAUAAAAUACUGGCUGCUCUUUGUCAAGCCCCAGAGUUUCUUCUUAAGUUUGCCAGUCUCUGAAGUCCCAGAGCCAGGGAACCACAGUCCAGCUAUGGUGUAUGUUUACAUGAUGAUGAGAAAUUCCUCUUGGAUUCUUAAAACAGCCUGUUUAUGUUGUUGAAGGCUCUCACAGCAUUUCUGCUGCCUGGUAGUCUAAGAGUAAGCUCUGAGGUCACCACAUGUGGAGUUGGAGGGUCAUGCUUAUGUCCUGGCGGUGGCAGAACCGCCCUCUGGGGUAGGCAUCAAGCCAUUCCUGCGUCCAUGAGAAACACUGUCUGGGAGUACUGCGUGGCCUUCUCAGUGGGGCCCGCCCUUACCUCGGGCCUCGGGGCCUGUGGCACCCCUGAGCGCCUGGGGCACGUUGCAUGUUGGUGAUGGCGCUAAUAGCAGGCCUUCUGGGGCUGAGGCUUCAGGCUUCCGCCCUGCCCCUUUGGCCGCCUGCCUAGGCGCAUGGUGACCAGUCCUCAGUGGUCUGGACUCCCCACCAACUCCUAUCUACUUGCUGAAAGUGCCUCAUGUGGCCAUGUGACCUUUCUCCCUGACUUACUUUUAUCUCCUUCCCACCCCCCUACAGCCUGACCCCUCGGUGUGGAAUAAAAUAACUGGUGUGCACUCUUAGUGGUUAGUGGGCUUGUCUCAGGAGAGUUCCACGGGAGGGCCACGCAGAACUUGGAGUGUAGUGAUGUACAGAAAUACACUUUAUAAUCCUAGGCAGACAAGCCGACGGAGCAGUGAGGCGGGGAGCAGGGGUCACUUCUGUUGCCUUAACAUGUAAUCACCCAGUGUCUGGAAUACAUGGGCAGCCUUUUUUUUUGUUGUUGUUUUGAUUUCAGAUCUCCACCAAGUAAUGUACGAAUGUGUGUAAAUGCAGCUUGAGUGUGGUGUUUGUGAACACAGCUUCUUGUACCUCUGAAGUCACAGCUUCCUGCUGUGCUCUAGCCCCAGCGUGCCCGCUCAGCUCUGCAGUGUUGGCACAGUGCUUGGUUGGUGGUGGGCAUGAGAGUGUGACCCGCAGGGGCCUGUGUGCGUGGAGACAUGCUGCAGGGAGUGUUCGCCAUAGUCCCUGCGUGUCCCUUCCACUCCGGUAACGAAUGUGUGUUUGCCCUCUGCUGCUGGGACGGCGACUGUUCUUGCACUUGUGCCUGGUGAAGAGUUUUCACAAGUAUGACGGACAUCUUUGAUAAUGUUAUUGUAACUUUAAUAAACGCUUUAUUACCCUUUAACUCAACUCCCAUCCCCAAUGCCUUACUUUUUCGGACUGUUUAUCUCAACGGGUAGAAAUUGGUCUUGUGAAAUCUUUGAAUACACAUUUCAGCCACGUGAUGGGCUCCUUGGAAAGUUUGUAAUGAUACGGAGAGAGGAACUUUUUUGAACUGCUCUGAGGGAUCUUGGUAUUCUAGGGAGGCACCCAGAAUGUGGCACAGAUUUAAACUUCCGGCCAAGCCUGUUUUACUUAGUGGGGUUUCCAGUUUGAAGAGAACGUGCCCUUAAAGUGUUUGAAACCCACGGCUUUCAAGCAGAGCGAACUGUCCCUGUGGGGCUCUGCAGGGGGAGGCGGUGGAGAGCUGUGGGCACCAUUGUUUCUGGGCCUCUGUUACAUGUGGCUUACUUUGACAGCGGGAGGGUGAGGUAUGAAGCUUUGGGAUGAACCCAGCAGGGAAGGAACUAAAUAAAAACAUGUAUGCAUAUCUCAGA